GAAAUCCUGUCAAAUAAGCUGCUAACCACAGCAUUUGAAGCGAGUCUUGAGUGUGUUACAGUAAUGUAAUGGGCUAAGCGUAGACAGCAAGGUUGCAGGGACAUCGACUCGACCC
rfam:Clostridiales bacterium KLE1615 genomic scaffold Scaffold717, whole genome shotgun sequence.